rnacentral:rRNA from 1 species
UACAGAGGGUGCGAGCGUUAAUCGGAAUUACUGGGCGUAAAGCGCGCGUAGGCGGCUUUGCAAGUCGGGUGUGAAAUCCCCAGGCUUAACCUGGGAACUGCAUUCGAGACUGCAUUGCUAGAGUAUGGGAGAGGGAAGUGGAAUUUCCGGUGUAGUGGUGAUAUGCGUAGAUAUCGGGAGGAACACCGGUGGCGAAGGCGGCUACCUGGACCGGAUCUGACGCUGAUGCGCGAAAGCGUGGGGAGCAAACAGG